AAUGAACGCUGGCGGCAGGCCUAACACAUGCAAGUCGAACGGAUCCUUCGGGAUUAGUGGCGGACGGGUGAGUAACGCGUGGGAACAUACCCAAAGGUACGGAAUAGCCUCGGGAAACUGGGAGUAAUACCGUAUGUGCUCGAAAGAGGAAAGAUUUAUCGCCUUUGGAUUGGCCCGCGUUGGAUUAGGUAGUUGGUGGGGUAAUGGCCUACCAAGCCGACGAUCCAUAGCUGGUUUGAGAGGAUGAUCAGCUACACUGGGACUGAGACACGGCCCAGACUCCUACGGGAGGCAGCAGUGGGGAAUCUUAGACAAUGGGGGAAACCCUGAUUUAGCCAUGCCGCGUGAUCGAUGAAGGCCUUAGGGUUGUAAAGAUCUUUCAGGUGGGAAGAGAAUGACUGUACCACCAGAAGAAGCCCCGGCUAACUCCGUGCCAGCCGCCGCCGUAA
rnacentral:rRNA from 1 species